UUAAAAUUGUAAAUAUUUUGUUAAUUUGGAGAUUUUUGGUGAUAUUUUACAUGUUUAAUGGAAAUUUGUCCGGAAUCUCUCAAAUUUUGUCCAAAAAUUGUCUAAAGUGAUGCAAAAGUGGCUGAAAUGUUGUAGAAAGUGACACAAAAUAUGUUGAAAAUGACUCAAAAAAUGCAAAAUGAUGCAAAAUUUGUCCAAAAAUGACUCAAAUUUUGUCCAAACUGACUCAAAUUGUACAAAAUAACUGAAAACAUUUUACAAAAUGGCACAAAGUUUGGCUAAAAUCACUAAAAAAUUGCAUAGAAUGACUAAAAAUGUACAAAAGGAUGCAAAAUGUGUUAAUUUAAAUUCAACAUCUGCUUCUGUAGUUUUCUGAUGUCUUUAAUCUGCCACCAUUUCCCAGAAUGCACCGGUGCAGCCUGCAGUGGGGAGCGUGCUCAGUGAUGGCUCCACUCCAGUCUGAGUCAGAGAAGCUGACGGAUGUUUAAUUGGAACAGUAAACUGAUGAUGGACUGCUGGAUAGUCCUUGUUCUGGUGUGGGAGGAGCCUCUGGAUCUGGAGGAGGGGCCUCAGAGCUCAGGGGAGGAGUCUACUGACAUUGACUCACCCACCAGCAGUGGAGGGAGGAGUUUCUGAGCCGACUGAUCCAGGAGCAGUCUUUGAUGGAAACCAUGAUUCCUCAUAAGGACAUCCUAUCCACUGAUUUGUGACAGCAGAACUUCACCACCAGACCUGAAGGGGAUCCAGAGGAGGAUGACCCACCAGGCAGCCACUGAGCUUAAACACACUCAGCUGCUUCCACAUUUACAAGACGGAGCUUCUUCUGUGGUCAACCAGAACCGUGUCACAUCUUUUAAAGACCUACAAGACCUGAAGAUACAACAGAACUUACAGACCUCUGCUAGAUUUGUAGAAGAUCUACAGGGUUUGUGUCAGACCUCUACAGAACAAGAAUUCUAACACAUCUGUACAUCUCUGGACAACACAACCUCCCAGAGUAGUGUUGGAUCCUACAUACCCUUCCAGAUACUUUCCCAGAGGUCUGCAGGAUCUGGACCUCUUCUAGACUUCACCAAAAACUACAAGUCUUCCUCACAUUUCUACAGGAUCUGUUGGACAGACCUCUGCAGGAACUGUUUCAAACUUCUAAAAGUCCUAGAAGAACGGUGUAGGACCUGCAGAUACAACAAGACUUACAGACCUCUGCCAGACAUCAUCUACAAGGCUACACCUCUGGAAGACUUCUACAAGAGCUACAACAUCUGUGAUCUACAGGAUCUACCAGAGGAUCUUGUAGAACUGUGAGAGGACCUCUGCUGGAUUUAUCCAAGAACUACAGGACUUUAUCUGGACCUCCUGCUAGAACUCUGCUCUGUUUAUCUCAACCAGCUCUUUCCAGGAGUUUCAUCGUAGCUCUUAUAGACGCCUGGAUCUCUGGUUCUGUUCAAAAGGUCAGAAAUGUGGAGCAGAGUUUCCUCAGAGGUCUUGUUUAGUUUAAAGACCUUCAGUUUACCAUCACAGAAGAAAGAAACCAGAAAAGAUUCACAAUUAGGAAAGCACAAUCCCAGAAUUUAGGCUGUUUUUAUUAAGAAAUGAUUCAAACAGAUUAGUUAUCGAUGGUUAGCAGUUAUCAGACUUCUCUCUUUUCCUCGUCUGUCUCCACCUCCCCACGACUUCACCUCAUCAGAUGUUCAUGUAUUUCUUAUCAUCUGACCAUCAGGCUGUGUCUUUGUGCAGCUGUUGGUAAUAAAUGUUUAUUUCUAUUCAAAAUGAUUUUCUUCUUCUGCAGCUCCAGCAUGUAAUCGUAAAUAAAUCCUGCUUCCAGAUGA